rnacentral:lncRNA from 11 species
GAUUCCAGGUAUAUAAGUAUAUUUAAUAGGUAUAAAAUCAAGCAUUUGCUAGAUGAUUUUCCUUUUUAUUAAGUGCAGUUGAAGCAUUUUUAUGAAGUACAGUUGGAGCCACCAGGUGUUUUUUUUUGUGUUAGGAGACUUGAGAAACUGCCAGUCACUUCUGGUGUAAGAGAAUUGGCUGUCUGCAAGGAUGUUGCCCAGGGGACGCCUGAAUGUUUUUGAUGUUUUACCAUCCGCAUGGGGAGCUGGAGCUGACAGAGGGAGCUCAUCCACACUCUCCUUGGAUUCAAACUGGCAACCUUCAGAUGAAGGAACAGGACAGAAAGGCAGAAAUCAGCCUAUCACUGCACUCUCCUAUGUCUACUUCAAGCACCAACAAUUUAUUCUCUUCUGCUUUGGUUCUACCACCUCACAUCCACCGCAAGGAGGGAAGCAACCACCAUAUUUCUACUGUUGUCUUAGAAACUGGGAUUUAAAAUUGAAUGAGGUGACUAUUUGGCAGCACAGCCUUUGCACAAUCCACUCCAGUCCACAUGAAGUAACAAUUCCCCAGAAUGAGACACCAAGGAAGAUAGUACCUUCUUCUCAUGCAGGGUCUUCCCUUUUAUCCCUUUCUUGGAAGAGCAUAAAGAAGGCAGCCUGGGAGUUCAGUGGCUCCCCCCUUCACCCCAAGUAA